GACGAACGCUGGCGGCGUGCCUAAUACAUGCAAGUAGAACGCAGUUGCGAACGGGUGAGUAACGCGUAGGUAACUGCCUGGUAGCGGGGGAUAACUAUUGGAACCGAUAGCUAAUACCGCAUACUACCAAAUGGACCUGCGUUGUAUUAGCUAGUUGGUGGGGUAACGGCUCACCAAGGCAACGAUACAUAGCCGACCAGAGAGGGGGGUGGGCCAAACUGGGACUGAGACACGGCCCAGACGCCUACGGGAGGCAGCAGGAGGGAAUCUUCGGCAAUGGGGGGAACCCUGACCGAGGAACGCAGAGUGAGUGAAGAAGGUGUUCGGAUCGUAAAGCUCUGUUGUUAAGGAAGCGGUACUUAACCAGAAAGGGACGGCUAACGACGUGCCAGCCGCCGCGGUAAUUC
rnacentral:rRNA from 1 species